ensembl:lncRNA
CGCGGCCUCUGCCCGGGCUGCUGUGUCCUGCGGAGCUCCGAGCACGUGCAGUGCCCAGCUGCCAGUUUGAGGAGAUGCUUGCCCUGGAUGCCUUGAAAGUAGGGUGGUCUUCACCAGGCUAAAAGAAUGAUUGGGGAUUUAGCUCAGCGGUAGAGCGCCUGCCUAGCAAGAGGAAGGCCCUGGAAGGCCCUGGGUUCGGUCCCCAGCUCCGGAAAAGAAAAGAAAACAAAACAAAACAAAAAAGAAUGAUCCACAGCAGGGUGCUGUGGUUCUCAGGUGAGUGUCUAUUCUAGCAUUGACUGCUUCCUCUGCCAGGCCUGUGGACUACUUUGUAUGUAUCAGGAAACAAUUGGGAAACAAGUUCACUCUUGCCACUUACUGUAGAACUUUGGGGGGUUUUUUGUUUUGUUUGUUUGAAAGUAGCAUAAAAUAUUUUUGUGUCUGCCAUUCCAACUAAGGAAUGACUUGUAGGAAUAUUCUAUGUCUUAGAUAACAAUGUAUCUUGUUUCUGUUCACUGCUAAGUGUCUAAGUUUGGUUCCUGCCAAAGGGCAGAGGCUGUUGGACAAAGCUGAGAGCAUAGAGACUUCUGUGAUUUCUGUAUUCAUGUCAGCUACCUGGGGUGGUCCUGGGAUGCAUGAGAUGGGAAGGGAGAGGGAUUUCUGGAACAGUCCAGCAGUUGUCAGCUGCCCAGGCUGUGUGGUGCCUGUGAUUGUGUUACACUGUUGGAAGAGCAAAGGCUGCUUUAGAAGGGUUGGCUCCAAGCACUGUUUUGGUGUUUGGUGCUGAGUACCUUCAGGCAGUGUAUUGCAUCCCUGAGAGUGGAAUGACUCCUUGUGGAGUUGGUCCUAGUCUAGGUGCGAACAAUUUUCAUGUUAACAGACAAAAGAAUUGGGACAGGGACAAAGCUGUGUGUUUAUAGGACACUUGCCUCACAUGUACUAAGCCGUGUACCUUACUGACAGUGUGUCACCUUUUCCUCCUUAUUCUAGAGCUGAAUGAGAUCUGCGUCCACCCAGGACUUCAGGUUUCUGACUACACCGGGUUUUGAGUAAUGUAUGUGGUCUCUGAUGUAGAGGUACUUCAGUUCAGAUGGGGGAAGUUAAGUUUGCCUUAGAGGGUUACAGAACUGAUGAAAUUCCAGAGAAUGAAGUCCAGCUAUGCUUUGGCAGAUGGGACAGCUCACACCCACGACCUCUGAGUUACAUACAUCUCCAGCUAUAAUUUGGGGGGGGGGCUAGAUGAUAUCUGUGUACUACAUAUGGCUAGCUACUUGCUAAUUAAAAAGUAAGUGGUUUUCAGACAUAUCUAGUUGGAUGGUAGCCAUCUUAGAAUGUUCCAGAAAGUUUAGGAUACUGCUUUGUAAAAGCAAAGGUUUAUAAAGACUUUUUAAAUUUAUUUUUAUUAUUUAUUUAUUUAUUUUUUAAUAUUUUUUAUUUUUUUAUUUUUUAUCCCUAUAGUAAAUGUUGUUAGUACUGUCUUUGGCUUUUGCAACUAUGUUGCUUCUGUGUGUGAAAAGUAAUGUAUCGGCAAAUGAACAUGGCUAUAUUCCAAUAAAACAUAACUGAUGAACACUGACAUUGGGAUUUCAUUGGCAAUUUCAGAGUCAACGUUCCCAAAUGUUUGAAAGCUUAAGAUCUUCCCAAGGCACAUUGACAAAGAGAUAGCAGGAUAAGGAUUAGUAACAUUUCUGACCUU